GCAACAUCACUGGAGUGCCCAAAAGCACAAGGUGUGCUAUACUCAGAGACAUGGCCAAGGUAAGAAAGGCUGAAAGACGACCACCACUGAACAAGACACACAAGCUGAAACGUCAAGACUGGGCCAAGAAAUAUCUCAAGACUGAUUUUUCUAAGGUUUUAUGGACUGAUGAAAUGAGAGUGAGUCUUGAUGGGCCAGAUGGAUGGGCCCGUGGCUGGAUUGGUAAAGGGCAGAGAGCUCCAGUCCGACUCAGACGCCAGCAAGGUGGAGGUGGAGUACUGGUUUGGG